rnacentral:lncRNA from 1 species
ACACGAGUUACUGUGUGAUUACCAAAUUCUAACGUACCCAAACGGACUCUAUGUUUGCCUCACUAACUUUUAUUAGGCUAGAUUUUAUGCUAUCCUUCACAUACAAGGCCACCCCUCCCCCUUUCUUGCCUUCCCUAUCUUUCCUAUAUAAAGAUUACCCUGGUAUUGCUAUGUCCCAGUCAUUUUUCUCAUUAUACCAUGUCUCAGUAACAGCGACUAAAUCUACACUAUCAGUUGCCAUUAUUGCCACAAGUUCAUGGAUCUUAUUCCCUAAACUGCGAGCAUUUGUAGACAUGACUCUAAGCUUAUAAUUUUUUAACACACUUGCUACAGGC